CUCGACGUGCUAAUCAAGUUCCCCCUAACUUGACAUACUAGAAUCUAAUACUAGAGGCAGCAUGACAUUAUUAUGGGGGAGGAGGUUGAGAAGCACUGACCUCGAAGUUAGAAUUUCUGGUUUGUCAUCCCAGUCUGCUAAUUAGCUUUCUGAUUUAAGAUAAAAUACUUUUUCUGUGCCUUCUAGGGGUCAAAUUCGAUUUUUAAGAUUCUCUCAGUUGGAAGAAAUGUAACUAAAAAUAUACUUAAAAUAAUUCUUUGGUAGUAUAUUAUUUUGAAAUUUGGUCCAGAAUCCUUUUUGUUUAUUCCUGUAGUAUACAUACAUUUGUAGUUACCCAGUAGUCUUUGUUGUCUUUGGGCCAUCUAAAGUAUAUUUGGGCUGGGCAUGGUGGCUCACAUCUGUAAUCUCAACACUUUGGAAGGCCAAGGUGGGAAAAUCACUUGAGGCUAAUCUCAAACUUCUGGCCUCAAACAAACCUCCUGCCUUAACCUUCCAAAGUGCUGGGAUUAUAGAUGAGCCACUGUGCCCCACCAUGGAGUCAUGUGACACACAUAGGAAGCUGUCAGAUAUUUUUGAUAAGUUCAAAUAGACACCAAGUAAAAAAAGAUUCCCAUUCUUCCCAGCUUGCCAACCCCCUAAAUUAAGUAAUGAAAUGAAACC
rnacentral:sRNA from 1 species